UGAAUUUUUUAAAAAAUAAAUAAAUGCUAAAUAUAUAUGAAGAUGUGAAAAACAUGUUGGAUUUGUGGAAUCGCUAAUGACCAAGGUUAAAUGGCGGGAUCCAAAAUCCGGUUAGAUUUCACAACGUCAUAUUAAUUUAGUAUUUAU
rnacentral:sRNA from 1 species